UUAAAUUGAAGAGUUUGAUCAUGGCUCAGAUUGAACGCUGGCGGCAGGCCUAACACAUGCAAGUCGAGCGGAAACGACACUAACAAUCCUUCGGGUGCGUUAAUGGGCGUCGAGCGGCGGACGGGUGAGUAAUGCCUAGGAAAUUGCCUUGAUGUGGGGGAUAACCAUUGGAAACGAUGGCUAAUACCGCAUAAUGCCUACGGGCCAAAGAGGGGGACCUUCGGGCCUCUCGCGUCAAGAUAUGCCUAGGUGGGAUUAGCUAGUUGGUGAGGUAAUGGCUCACCAAGGCGACGAUCCCUAGCUGGUCUGAGAGGAUGAUCAGCCACACUGGAACUGAGACACGGUCCAGACUCCUACGGGAGGCAGCAGUGGGGAAUAUUGCACAAUGGGCG
rnacentral:rRNA from 1 species